rnacentral:rRNA from 1 species
GAGUCUAGCAUGUGCGCGAGUCAUUGGGACUCGAUUAAACCUAAAGGCGCAAUGAAAGUAAAGGUCCGCCUCGCGCGGACCGAGGGAGGAUGGGCCGGCCCCGGUGCCGGCCCCGCACUCCCGGGGCGUCUCGUUCUCAUCGCGAGAAGAGGCGCACCCAGAGCGUACACGCUGGGACCCGAAAGAUGGUGAACUAUGCCUGGUCAGGACGAAGUCAGGGGAAACCCUGAUGGAGGUCCGUAGCGAUUCUGACGUGCAAAUCGAUCGUCGGAACUGGGUAUAGGGGCGAAAGACUAAUCGAACCUUCUAGUAGCUGGUUCCCUCCGAAGUUUCCCUCAGGAUAGCUGGCGCUCGCCUUUGCGAGUCUCAUUCGGUAAAGCGAAUGAUUAGAGGCAUUGGGGUCGAAACGGCCUCAACCUAUUCUCAAACUUUAAAUGGGUGAGAUCUCCGGCUUGCUUAAAGCAUGAAGCCGCGAGAGAUCGGAUCACAGAGUGCCAAGUGGGCCACUUUUGGUAAGCAGAACUGGCGCUGUGGGAUGAACCAAACGCAGAGUUAAAGCGCCCAAAUCGACGCUUAUGGGAUACCAUGAAAGGCGUUGGUAACUUAAGACAGCAGGACGGUGGCCAUGGAAGUCGGA